AUGGCUCAGGAUGAACGCUAGCUACAGGCUUAACACAUGCAAGUCGAGGGGCAUCAUGAGAUUAGCUUGCUAAUCUUGAUGGCGACCGGCGCACGGGUGAGUAACGCGUAUCCAACCUUCCCUAUACUAGAGGAUAGCCCGGCGAAAGUCGGAUUAAUACUCUAUGUUCUUCGUAGAUGACAUCUGAAAUGAAGCAAAGAUUUAUCGGUAUAGGGAUGGGGAUGCGUCUGAUUAGAUAGUAGGCGGGGUAACGGCCACCUAGUCGACGAUCAGUAGGGGUUCUGAGAGGAAGGUCCCCCACAUUGGAACUGAGACACGGUCCAAACUCCUACGGGAGGCAGCAGUGAGGAAUAUUGGUCAAUGGGCGAGAGCCUGAACCAGCCAAGUAGCGUGCCAGGAUGACGGCCCUAUGGGUUGUAAACUGCUUUUAUACAGGGAUAAAGUGAGGGACGUGUCCCUUUUUGUAGGUACUGUAUGAAUAAGGACCGGCUAAUUCCGUGCCAGCAGCUGC
rnacentral:rRNA from 1 species